AACGAACGCUGGCGGCAUGCCUAACACAUGCAAGUCGAACGAACCCUUCGGGGUUAGUGGCGCACGGGUGCGUAACGCGUGGGAAUCUGCCCUUUGCUUCGGAAUAACAGUUAGAAAUGACUGCUAAUACCGGAUGAUGUCUUCGGACCAAAGAUUUAUCGGCAAAGGAUGAGCCCGCGUAGGAUUAGGUAGUUGGUGGGGUAAAGGCCCACCAAGCCGACGAUCCUUAGCUGGUCUGAGAGGAUGAUCAGCCACACUGGGACUGAGACACGGCCCAGACUCCUACGGGAGGCAGCAGUGGGGAAUAUUGGACAAUGGGCGCAAGCCUGAUCCAGCAAUGCCGCGUGAGUGAUGAAGGCCUUCGGGUCGUAAAGCUCUUUUACCAGGGAUGAUAAUGACAGUACCUGGAGAAUAAGCUCCGGCUAACUCCGUGCCAGCAGCCGCCGCGGUAA
rnacentral:rRNA from 1 species